UACGUAGGGCGCAAGCGUUGUCCGGAAUUAUUGGGCGUAAAGAGCUCGUAGGCGGCCUGUUGCGUCCGCUGUGAAAUCCCGGGGCUCAACCCCGGGCCUGCAGUGGAUACGGGCUGGCUGGAGGCAGGCAGGGAAGAACGGAAUUCCUGGUGUAGCGGUGAAAUGCGCAGAUAUCAGGAGGAACACCGGUGGCGAAGGCGGGUCUCUGGGCAACAACUGACGCUGAGGAGCGAAAGCGUGGGGAGCGAACAGG
rnacentral:rRNA from 1 species